GGAGGAGGCUGUCAAUGUCAUGAGGUGAAGUGCUGAUCCUCAUCUGCAUUGCUGUAACUGGAUGAGUGAGAAGCAGAUCUUCUAGCUCUGAAGGUGCAACCUAAAACAACCACAGCAUCACCAAAUGUGACAAGUAAACAAGAGUUAACAACUCUCUCCCUUACCUGAAAGCCUUUAUAUUUGAUGAGCUCUUUUACACGGUCUACAAUAUAGAGUCGACCCUCGCCAUCAAAAUAGCCAACAUCUCCUGUGUGCAACCAGUCUUCCUCAUCUAUGAUUUCUGCGGUCGCCUUGUGGUUGUUCAAAUAGCCUACAACAAGUCAACAACCAUUAAACACGUGGCUCAUAGAUGUUGAGAGGAUCAGGCAUACCUUUCAUCACCAGGGGGCCUUUAAUCCAUAUUUCACCUUUCUGAAAAGGAGACAGACGUUGCAUAGUCACUGAAUCGACUAUUUGAGCUUCAACGCUGGGAGCAAGUGGCCCUACAGAGCCUGGAUGAGGUAACCUUGUACUACCUGACAUACAACAGCUUGUGGAAAAGUCUUGGAGCAUGCUUCUAUUAUCUCCUCCCCUAAUGGAGCUGCUCCAGAAAGAAUCUCCUUCAACGUUGAAACGUCGUAUUCCU